rnacentral:lncRNA from 1 species
AACUGUUUUCUCCUUGUAUUUAAAAAUAAAAUAAAAUAACCCUCCAAACCCUUAACUAAUUAACCCUAGCGCUUGUUUGCCAUCACUAACUCUCAUAAACCUUGUUAGUGCCUGAGAACAAUAAAUAGGACUAUCUGUCUCUCACUUUGGGGGUAAGCAAACAUUGAGCAAUAUCAACGGACUUCACAUGAACUUGUUUAAGACCAUUCUAGAACUUAGAAAAUUGUUUUGUGUUACUUAAUAUUUACAUUAGCAUGACACAGACUUUGUUGUCACAAGUCAAAUAUAACCACGGCCAUGGGAAUAAACAGUAAUUUCCUGAGGAGGCUGUUGGGGAUCAUUUUGGCCAGGGAGAUCCUCCAUCUCCACAGCUUUUCUUACUGGUUCAGUGGUGCUCACAGGAAUAAGCAAGGCCUUUCUGUAUGUGCCAGGGAACAUCAUCCAUCCGCCCCAGUGAGAGCUGUGCAUGCCAGGCAAGGAUGGAAACGGAUAGGCAGAGCAGUAGCCACUGUCAGGACAGAGGACGAUGUUGGGCUUUUUUGAUGGUGUGUAAGUAACCGUUUGAACAGGAAAAUCAAUUAAUUUCAGGUUGGUGCAAUCACAGUCUAGACGAAGAAAAUCAAAGCAAAUCAACAUCAAUUUGCCUCUGACCUGAAAAAAAAGAAGAGAGGGGACUGCCUUUUAGCAGCAUAGAUGGAUAUUCACAACAGCAGCCUGAGCUUUGAAGCUCAUUUCUAUUUGCAGGCAGAUGAGCGUGGCUUGUGUCAGGGAAUUGAGAGGCAAGCAUGACUGACUAACACGGGCCAGAAGGAAAGGUGUUAUGUGGGGUUCUUAAUAGGCCUUGCUGCUAAUUUGGCAGGGAGAUUACAUUCUGGUUUUCAGUCAGUUAUCUACUGAUUUCGUAUGCAAGAAUGUAAUUGUUGUUAAUAUUUUGAUUACUGGUCUGUUUGGCUCAGGUGCAGGUAAUAGCCAUGAAUUGGCUUCAAAUUUUUUUGAUAUGACACUUUUCUUCUUUCUCUGCCCCAGCUCCCAGAUCUGUAAAACCACAGCAGUCUGAAAUGCAGUGUCAGUGUUUCCAAGCGCAGGAGAGGAGUGAAUUUUUAUCCCAGUUUCAGCCAAGAAAUUAGAGAACAAAGCUCUCCAAGUAGCUCAGAGCCAUUCCCCAGAUCCUUUGGCUUUAUUUCCUAGAUUCUGAUGGAAAAAAAUGGCCCUUAUGUGUUGACUGAGAAUAACAUUUGAGCCGAGUAAUCUUUUUCAUAGAAGAUGUUCAUACAUCAACAUGGCUUUCAGGCUGACCCUCUUGUUCUCUGAGCUUAGAGCAUGGCUGGUACAACAGCACAGGGUGCCUACUUCCAUCCAUCCAGGCAUUGCCUUUUUCUCUAAUCACCUUUCAGGCUAGGAGGGCAAAUAUCCUUUUCCCACCACAAUAACUCAUUGUCCUGUCCAACUGCACAUAUUGCAGUAGUCACUGCAGGCAGGUCAUAGCAUAUAGCUCUCCAUGUUCUCACCGCACAUUGUGCACUGGAAAUUAAACAGCUAUAAG